rnacentral:rRNA from 1 species
GUGCUUGCACAAUCUGUUGGCGACCGGCGCACGGGUGCGUAACGCGUAUGCAACCUACCUUUAACAGGGGGGAUAACACUGAGAAAUUGGUACUAAUACCCCAUAAUACUUCGGAAGGCAUCUUUUGGAGUUGAAAGUUCCGGCGGUUAGAGAUGGGCAUGCGUUGUAUUAGCUAGAUGGUGAGGUAAUGGCUCACCAUGGCGACGAUACAUAGGGGGACUGAGAGGUUAACCCCCCACAUUGGUACUGAGACACGGACCAAACUCCUUACGGGAGGCAGCAGUGAGGAAUAUUGGUCAAUGGACGCAAGUCUGAACCAGCCAUGCCGCGUGCAGGAUGACGGCUCUAUGAGUUGUAAACUGCUUUUGUAUUAGGGUAAACCUUAGUACGUGUACUAAGCUGAAAGUAUAAUACGAAUAAGGAUCGGCUAACUCCGUG